rnacentral:tRNA from 1 species
GGUGGCUCAGUGGUAGAGCGUUUGCCUUAUAUGCAUUAGGCCUUGGGUUCGUUCCUCAGCACCA